rnacentral:rRNA from 1 species
UCGGGAAUACUGCGCAAUGGAGGAAACUCUGACGCAGUGACGCCGCGUGCAGGAAGAAGGUUUUCGGAUUGUAAACUGCUUUAGACAGGGAAGAAACAAGACAGUACCUGUAGAAUAAGCUCCGGCUAACUACGUGCCAGCAGCCGCGGUAAUACGUAGGGAGCAAGCGUUAUCCGGAUUUAUUGGGUGUAAAGGGUGCGUAGACGGGAAUGCAAGUUGGUUGUGAAAUCUCUCGGCUCAACCGAGGAAUUGCAACCAAAACUAUAUUUCUUGAGUGCUGGAGAGGAAAGUGGAAUUCCUAGUGUAGCGGUGAAAUGCGUAGAUAUUAGGAGGAACACCAGUGGCGAAGGCGACUUUCUGGACAGUAACUGACGUUGAAGCACGAAAGUGUGGGGAGCAAACAGGAUUAGAUACC